AUAAGAUUAGGUUGUUGGUUGUUGUAAAAGACAUAUCCAAGCCUAUGAUCUUUAGUUGGUUUGAGAAGAUGAUCAACCACACUAGAACUGAGACAAGGUCUAGGCUAAAUUUUUAGCCAGCAGUGAGGAAUAUUGAACAAUGAACGAAAGUUUGAUUCAGCAACACCUACUUGAAUGAAGACGGCUAUCUGGUUGUAAAAUUCUUUCAUUAAAAAUGAUA
rnacentral:rRNA from 1 species